rnacentral:rRNA from 1 species
UACGAAGGGGGCUAGCGUUGUUCGGAAUCACUGGGCGUAAAGCGCGUGUAGGCGGGCUGUUAAGUCGGGGGUGAAAUCCUGAGGCUCAACCUCAGAAUUGCCUUCGAUACUGGCAGUCUUGGAGUCCGGGAGAGGUGAGUGGAACUCCUAGUGUAGCGGUGAAAUGCGCAGAUAUUAGGAAGAACACCGGUGGCGAAGGCAGGUCUCUGGGCUAUAACUGACGCUCAUGCACGAAAGCGUGGGGAGCAAACAGG